UAUUUUUCCAAACCAUACAUGAUUGAACUCACUGGAUCUCAUACCUGCUAAACAAGAUCUGAUUGAACAUAUCUUAGUUUGCUUUUAAAAGUCGAUGGAAAUAGAUGCUUGUGUGGCUAAGUAUUAAUUGCGAAAACCUCGCUCAAGCCUUUAAAAGAGAUUCGAAAAGCCAUUUCUACUCGAAGUCACUCUCCCUCUAGCUCGAAAUCAUUCCAAGUUCCUUAAAGACUAUUCGUCAGUCAUUUCUACACACCCCGUCUAACUGAUGUUUUUCGCCACCUGCCGUCGUGUGGUUUCAUUGUGUAAAAAUGUACAUUCUCCUGUCCACAUCGUCUUUAAAAAGUGAGUAAAAUGGUUGUUGAGUCGAGUUCUUUUAUAUAUAACAUUUAAAAAAAACAUUAAAUCACCUCGCUCAGGAUAUUAUGUAAAAAGAUCUAAGUGGUAAAACCGGGAUGUUUUUCGGGAUUCGUCUUUUUUUCGGUCGGCAAUGAAAGAAUAUAAUAAAAAGGGUAUCUUAAGUAUAUAGAGGGUUAUCUGAAUUGCACUACGCAAUCAACGCGAUUGAACGUAAAACAAAUAUAAUGAGAGAAGAAUACCCCACAAACAGCAAUCAUAACGCACAUUGGCUUAGUUGUUACCAUGUGGGGUACGAUCAGGACAUUAUUGACUUAGAACCGAUAUCAUAAACGAUGAAUGGAUAACCGCACAAGCAUUAUCACUACUCUAAAUCCGGCAACCCAAGCAAUAAAUUACACUUUCAACGAUCAAACGCAUACGAAAAUAACAGAACAAUCUCGAAUGGGAUUUCCUGGGGAAAAUAUUUUUACUGUAUGUUUUGUUGUGAAGAUUUCCAACGCAUUGACAGUAGGUAUAGGUGAUUCAUAGAUGCAAGCGAUGGAAGACAAAGAUGGGUAAUAUCCGUAAUAGCAUUAAGCGCUGAUUUAUUAUCCUUAUCACAUGAGAAGAAGAAAGCGACGCAUCUAAGAAGGGUAAAGACUCGAGGGGAUUCUAGGUAAUGAUCGUUAAUUAUGUCUAAAACAAUUAAAGGUUUGUAUUGGUGAACACAAUACGUAAACCUUGGGCAUUUUAUUUUUUGAUUGAAACUGCAUGGGUGUAAUACACAGUAACAGAAUUUACUGAAACGUUGAUAAACUUUAGUAGGAAUAAAACUUUCAGAAUUUUUCUUUAAAAUGCUUGUCAUUUUGUACUUCCUGCCGCCUGGAAAACCCGUAUUUUUCUAUUUUCGGGUUCUUGAUCAGAGGCUAUGGCCUUGUUCUUGACAGCGAGAGCAAAGAAGGUCGUCACAAACAGUCCACAUCAUAUCAGUUCUAUAUGAGUAAGAAAUAGUAGCCCUGAACCUUAAAUACGGGCGUGAAAUGAGCUGAGAUCGAAUCUAUUACCACCAACCUUUCUUCUCCUCUAUGCAAACACAUACGGAGUUCAUUUUUACAAGAGACCUGGCCAAAUUGAGAAAUUGAUGGCAAUCGCAUAAGACCAAGGAGCUCCAAGGGAACACAACAACCGAUUCUCUUUCCACAAAGACGUUUUCUAUUUGUGUCAAGGAUCCGUGUACCAUUUUUUAAUAGUGCUGUAGCUUUAUAGGUUCCGUUCAUCCAAUCAUGGCUCUGGUUCGGCGCAAAAUAUAAAUUCAAAAAUCGAUUUUUGGCGUGGCGCUAUACGAUAGAACUUGAUAUGAUCCUGGAUAAGAUGGUUUUAUACGUCAACGCUACAAAUAAUACCACAUUUUCAACUUUGUCAACUUUCAAUUCAAGUUAACUUUGGGGUUACGUCUUUUAUGUUUUUGCCGGUCUUUAUUUCUGGUAGAGUUUUAUUAUUUCCAAACGUAGGGUCCGGAUGAAGAAGAUGAAAAUUUGGCAGUCUACGUCACAUAACGCUUUUGUGAAUACAGCUCUUAAAUGAAGCAUUUGCGAAACAAAUCGAGUCUUUUUUUAGAAUGCAGACGCAAUUUGAGCCUGUAACAGAGAAUAGUGAAUCUUUUAUUGUUAAUUUCGACUCUAAGCGAACAAAAAUGCUUUUAUCAUCGUCUUAUUAAAGUUAUACAACAGAGAAAACUCAAAUAACUAGUGAUGUGAUAUCGAGCUAUUUACCUGAGGUAAUUCCAUGAAAGUAAAAUGCGUGAGAAAAGGAAUAGAACAAAUGAAUAAAAAAAUCUGAAUGGAAAAUUACUAAAUAAUGAAUAAGGAAAAGUUUAAUGGGAUGUUUUCUUUUGUGUAUGGUAGGAUAGGAAGUCCAACGACUCACGCAAUCACGAAUACCCCAAUAUCCUUAUGCAUAUUUCCAGAUAUUAACCAUGAUCGAGGCAAUAUAAGCAAGAAUAAGAAGCCUCAUAAACAAAGACACGUUAUUCACCACCAUGGAACAAUGAAAAACAUAAGACGAUUAUUUAUCUCAGAAUAAGAAAUGAAAAACAAAAAAAGGGAAAUCAAAUGGUAGCAAAAAGUUGAUCUCAACGAACUUGAUCGGUUCAAACAAGAAAGAAAUAAGGACCACACGUGCGCUAAAUCACCGUAUGGCUGCUAAAGCUUUACGGCUAGUCUGGUGAUUUCGGCUCCAACACCGCAAUCUAGCGAACUGUACAACAAAAAACUACCAGAGGUAUGCUUGCAUUAAUCAGGGGCAAUAACCAGGGUUUCUAGCGCUGUCUUAUACGGUUACGCCACGCACAGCUCGCUGUGACGUAGAGUGAAAAUAUUAGGGUCUAUAUGGGCGUUUUUGGUCUCUUGGAAGCUCCAAGUUUAAGCGUUUUGCACGUGAUCUCUUUUGUAUACAAUACAACAAACACUUACUGAGCGGUAGAAAACGGGCGAAACAAGGUACAAUGUCGGCUUACUAUAUCAAGCUGAAAAUAUAUGCGGUUGAUAUUGCUGUACGAUGGCAAAACUAGGACUAUAGACAGAAAUACACUGUUCGAGUCAGUGGCUACAUACAGCCGAUCUUAUGCAGUGAGCAAAUGUAAUUGAUUAUUUUGUAUUAUCCUUGAGGGAAGCCAUUAAGUUUUCUUUUAUGAGAUAGAAGAACGCGUGUAUAAAAAAAACAGUCAGUGGCGAAACAUCUAUACCAAUAGAUUUAUUCUACACGUUUCGUGGCUUUCCUCAUGCGAGUAAAUUGACGAUUUUAAAAUGAAUCACAUGACUUUUGUGAUCUUGUCUAUGUCUCUUGUUUUGGACAAUGUUAAUAGGAUCAACUAUAUGUCUAAGGAACAUUUAAAAACAUUUAAAAACUUUUAAAAAAGUAUACCAAUUUCCUUUGCCAUGACGGAAGCCAGUUCUCGCGUCACACAGAUCAGAUACUUCCCUGACCCCCCUCCCCCUGGGGGAAUCCGCCAACCAGUUUCGACUCAUUUCCUGUGCCGCGUUGUAUUGUUACCCUAUAAAUGCAUUAAAAAGAUAAAAUGCGUAAUACAGACAACGAAGGGAAGGGUAUCUUUUCAUCAUCACCUUCACGCAAAAGUACAAACCAAACAAUCUCGGGCGAGAGAUAGUGUUAAGUUGAAAUUUUCUAUCACUUCAUUUUCUGAAUUCUUUUGUAGAUUUUUCUCUUUGACACAAAUUGUUUACUUAGUGUCAUUAUCUAUAAAACAAACCAUUUUUUUUCUCGCUUUGUCUUUAUUAAACUAAUAUAACACAAAUUGUAAACGCUUAUCACUGCGCAUUACUUAGCAGAUAUUCUGAAAAGGAACAUUUCAGGGGGUAAAGCGACCAUACUAAAUCAGUCUGUGAUUUGAGCUUUGAUUGGAGUCCAUUCAACAAUAAAUGGAGGUUUUAAAAGCGUGGUUAAACCAUUAUACCAUUAAUCUCUUUAGUUACAAGGAGGUGGCUAUUUCAGUUCAUCUAAACUCGGGGAAAAAAUAACAUAAUACAAGAACCCCUUACUUCAAACUAUUGCACUCAAAUACACAAAAUAUCAACCUUUAUGGGGUCAUGACGUGGUGUUAAAAUCAAGUAUAGUUGGUAAACAAAUUGAAAAUCAAUUAACACAAUUAUACUAAUGAUUCUAAAACGAUUAGAGAAUAUAAUCCCUAUCGCACUUCCGUGGUCAAUUAGUAACUCCACUCCUUGCAUUUCAUUACUUCGUUUUAAAAGGCGGCAGUCUUCCUGGUUUCUUUACUAGAACCUUGUACACACAGAUCUAUUCUGUUCUCCGAAAGGUCCAUUUCUAACAUGGUUGGUACCAAGCUUUUUCUGGGGCUCCUUAUUGUAGCGGUGUGUCUGAAGGCAGGGUCCGCUUUUGUUGCUGGUGUGACAACACCUGGAUUUAACAAGAUCUCCGGCGACGAAAAGCGUUCACUCGAGGAAUCCCGAAUUUGGCGGAUGUGCGAAUCAACGAGAAGAUUCUGUAAUGCUGCGCGCGCACACAUUCAACACGAACAACAAGAGCCCAAAUAUCGCUGAACACGAUCGCGGGCUAAGGAAAGGGAAUCAUCGAGAGAGCAUGCGUGGAGCUGAGAUACAACUGACCACCAAGCUAAUUGUCGUUUUUUCACACAGUCAAUAGGCAGUAAUGAUAAACGAAUUUGGAAUGAGCAACUAUCAUUUGUAAAAAUUAUGAAAAAAGGCUCAAUUGUGAAUAAAAUUCUACGGUUACACGCGUUA